UUUAAAUUGAGAGUUUGAUCCUGGCUCAGGAUGAACGCUGGUGGCGUGCCUAAUACAUGCAAGUCGUACGCUAGCCGCUGAAUUGAUCCUUCGGGUGAAGUGAGGCAAUGACUAGAGUGGCGAACUGGUGAGUAACACGUAAGAAACCUGCCCUUUAGUGGGGGAUAACAUUUGGAAACAGAUGCUAAUACCGCGUAACAACAAAUCACACAUGUGAUCUGUUUGAAAGGUCCUUUUGGAUCGCUAGAGGAUGGUCUUGCGGCGUAUUAGCUUGUUGGUAGGGUAGAAGCCUACCAAGGCAAUGAUGCGUAGCCGAGUUGAGAGACUGGCCGGCCACAUUGGGACUGAGACACUGCCCAAACUCCUACGGGAGGCUGCAGUAGGGAAUUUUCCGCAAUGCACGAAAGUGUGACGGAGCGACGCCGCGUGUGUGAUGAAGGCUUUCGGGUCGUAAAGCACUGUUGUAAGGGAAGAAUAACUGAAUUCAGAGAAAGUUUUCAGCUUGACGGUACCUUACCAGAAAGGGAUGGCUAAAUACGUGCCAGCAGCCGCGGUAAUACGUAUGUCC
rnacentral:rRNA from 1 species